rnacentral:ncRNA from 1 species
AUAGGUGAAAAUUCCUAUUUUCUCUAAAAAGACGAGAAGACCCCAUAAAACUUUAUUUUAAGAUUACUUUUUAAUUCUAAAAAUUUAGAUGGGGACUCUAGAGCAUAAAAAUAACUUUAUUUUACUUUAUUGUUCUGACCUAUUUUUAUAUUUGUUGAGAAGCUACUUUGGGGAUAACAGGGUAAAAUGCCUGAAGAGUUCUUAUCGAUAGGCGUGAUUACUACCUCGAUGUUGGAUUAUCUUAUCUUUUAGGAUGUAGAAGCCUAAAAAGUUAGUCUGUUCGACUAUUAAUAAGUUACAUGAUCUGAGUUUAAACCGUUGCAAGACAGGUUGGAUUUUAUCUUUUACAAU